rfam:Zootermopsis nevadensis contig5627, whole genome shotgun sequence.
GCCAUGGUGGUCUAGUGGUUAGAACGCUGGCCUUGUAAUCCUGGGGUCUCGGGUUCGAUUCCCGGCGGUGCCC